rnacentral:rRNA from 1 species
UACAGAGGGUGCAAACGUUGUUCGGAAUUACUGGGCGUAAAGCGUACGCAGGCGGCUAUGCAAGACAGAUGUGAAAUCCCCGGGCUCAACCUGGGAACUGCAUUUGUGACUGCACAGCUAGAGUUUGUCAGAGGGGGGUGGAAUUCCACGUGUAGCAGUGAAAUGCGUAGAGAUGUGGAGGAACACCGAUGGCGAAGGCAGCCCCCUGGGACCUGACUGACGCUCAUGCACGAAAGCGUGGGGAGCAAACAGG